UCUAAGGGUGGUGUAGGGAGUCAGAUGAAGUGGUUGUUGUUGAAGGCUCUUGACCUCCUUUUGUGGCUGGCGGUUGUCCGGUGAAAUCUGAGACAAUCAUUCUGGGUCGUUGGCGCGACACCUGUUAGGCAUUGAUCGGAGAAGGUGAUUUGCAUGGAUUCUUCGAUCAAGGUUUCGGAAGCGGGGGCUAUAUCAUGGGCGGCAUUGAAUGGCACUUUUCGGAGGUGAAAUUGAGAAACAAGCAUCAUGGGUCAUUGGCAUCUCACUGUUAGGUGCGAAUUGAAGAAGGUUGUGCGUGUGGAUUUGAACAUCAAGGUGUCGGGAGCGGGUUGGUGCAACGGGUAUAUCGGUGGCAUUAGUAGUCGCUACAUUCAUAGGUACUUAAGAACGCCUUGGAAUGGAUAGUGAAAGCAAAGGAAACUCGGACUUUUCGGGUCAAUGGACUAAUGGAUGGAGUAGUGACUCCGACGAGGAAAAGGUCUCGAAGGGGUUAGAGUCACCAUCACGAGUGAGCAAGGAGAGCAAGCCAGUAGAGAGAGUUAAUGUAUCUGGUUUAGGGGACGAGGGUGGCACAGUGCCUUCAUCAGAGUCACCAGGUGGUUUAGGCGAUCAAAUAAGUGAUGAUGUGGAAACUUCCAUGCUUUCAAACUCGGGUACAUUGGCUGAUGCCGAAUUUCAUGGGGUUGAAGAGGCUUAUGCAUGAUAUGUGGAGUAUGAAAAGGCGACUGGAUUUACUGUUUGAAAAGGUUAUUCCAUUAAAGACGACGAAGGCAAUGUUCUAAAGAAAUUUUUCUAUUGCAAUCGAUGGGGCUUGCGGGAGAAGAAGCAUUACGAAAAGGCAGAUAGGAAGAAGGCGCAUAAGGUAGAGACUAGGACCAACUGCAAUGUGAAGUUCGUUGUGUUCUUAGACAAAUAGAGUGGCAAGUGGAGGAUGAAGACCUUUGUUCAAGAUCACAAUCAUGAUUUGGCAUUACCUGCUUUCAUUAAUGUCAUGCCAGCCCACCGCAACAUCAACGAAGGUGAUAAAGCCCACAUUCAUAGCAUGCAUGGGGUUCUUUACAUAUCUGUCUGGUGGUUAUUAAAACAUGUACUUUAUAAAGAAGGACAUUUAUAAUUAUAUCGACGAUGUACGUCACUCUCGGAUCGUUCAGGGAGAAGCGGCAGCAGCAAUCAGUUAUCUGAAGGGAAAAACUGAGGUGGAUCCAUUAGCUGUUGUGAUGUACACAUAUUGUCCUGAAAACCACCUUGGUCACCUGUUUUGGUUGGACGGGGCAAUGCAGUAUGACUACGAGUGCUUUGGUGAUGUGUUGGCCUUUGAUUCGACAUAUAGGAAGAAUCUAUACAACCAGCCUUUGGUGAUAUUUUCUGGCACUAAUCACCACCGAAAGACAAUCAUUUUUGGUUUUGGGUUGUCGGAGGACGAGAAAAUUCCAUCUUAUAAGUAGUUUCUAGGUACUUUCCUUGAAGUAAUACAUCAAAAAUAGCCCAAAGUUGUGGUUACAGAUGGAGACGGGUCGAUGAAGGAGACUAUUAGAGCAGAAUUCCCUAAUGCCACGCAUUGACUUUGCACCUGACACCUAGCGUGGAAUACUGUUUCAAACAUCAAGGAUAAUGAUUUUUGUGCUGCAUUUAAGACUAUUGUGUAUGGUCAUUUUGAGGUAGAGGAGUUCGACCAGUAUUGGUCAGACAUGGUUGCUGCCUUCGGGUUAGAGGAGAACGAAUGGAUUUGGACAACGUAUGACAAGAGGGUACAUCAGGCGAAUGCAUAUUUAUGCGACAAUUUUUGUGCUGGGUUGAGAAUGACAUCAAGAUGUAAGGGCAUUAAUGCAUUGCUUAAAAGGUUUUUCAAGUCCUUGAAUUGCUUGUUGGAGUUGGUGGAGAAUCUUGAGCAUGUGGUUAAGGUCUAUAGGAAUAAUGAGUUUAUUGUGGACUACAAAUCUCUAUAUUCGGAACCGGUCAUGACUAUAGGACUGGAAUCAAUUGAACAGGCUAUGUCACAAAUCUACACCAAAGAGAUAUUCUUCGAGGUCAAGAAAUAGGUCGAAGGUGUGGCUGCGUUGAUAGUCCUUCGCAGGGAGAGUUACAGUAGAACGGAAAAGUUCAUGUUUAGAAAGUUUUGGAAGCCCCAUUGGGUUUACUCUGCACUCUAUGAAAGCAACUCUGAGAGGUAUGAGUGUUCAUGCAAACUUUGGAACAGCAUAGGGAUUCCAUGCAGCCAUAUCAUCUGUGUUUUGAAAGAGCUAGAGAAGGAUGUGUUGCCGAUGGGGAUGGUGUUCAAAAGGUGGCGCAAAGAUGCUAAGUCUGGAUCAUUCCAUGACUCCGAUGGAGGUUUCGAACAUAAUAGAGAAUUUCGGGGACGGUAUGGUUUGUUUUGGUCUGCUUGCCUCCCUAUGUGUUUGUUAGAAGCACAAUGGUCUACCACGUAUGAGUACGCUGCUGUAAAGAUAGCGCAGCUAUUAAAAGAGGUUGAGGUAGAAGUUUCGAAGGAUAAUAGUUCAACUUUCAAGCAUACUACUGCAGAUGGUUGCGGUAUUUUGGAUCUGAAGAUUAUCAAUUCAAAAAGUGUACUGCGGUCAAGCAUUAACGGCAAAAUGGGUAGGCGAUAGCAAGCGCUGCCAUAGUUUUGGGCAUCACCGAAAAAAUUACACAGCAAACAAAGAGGACAUAUCUGAUGAGGGUCAGGUUUGGGACAAAGUUAAUGUGGCGGGAAAAGAUCUUGCCGUGCCAAAAAUUGUGGGGUCCACCAGGACAACAUUUCUACAUGAUUAGGGUGCUUCAACAAUUAACAACUAAACAAAGGGAGGGCAUUUGGUGGCCUCAAAAUUUUAGCAUGAGUCAAAGUCCAAACACACGAUUGUAAUUCAAGAUAAUGUAAGUGUAUUUGUGUUUAGGUUACUGAGUGAACACCUGUAUAUGUUGAAUAGUAUAUUUGAUGUUGAAAAGGUAUUUUGUCUUUUUGAUAGCUAUGCCAUAUGUGGUUCGAUUCUUCGAAACAGUUUAGGAGAAUUUACAAAUGCUAAGUGUGGGCAUAUCUUGUAGAAUUCUCAUGUUCUCAGACCUUACUUAUUUGGGUUGAGCUAA